CGGAGGGCGCCGGAAGUGGGCGCAGCUGCUGACGACCCGUUGGCCCACCUGCCUGCAAAGGACGCCGGGAAGCGCCGUCACCUGCGCGGCGGGGCGGCCUGGAGGGCGGGUGGUCUCACGGCGCUGCGGCCAGAGCGGGCGACGCUCCUCCCCGCUACGGUGACGGAGGGGCUUUGUGGGGACGCAGGAGCUGGGAGCGGCCGGCAGCGUCACAGGGCGGGACGCUAGGAGGCAGCAGUCCACACCCCCCCCCCCCGCUUUUGUUCUUUCUGGAGACGGAGCCUGAUUGGCCGGCUGGGACCGGACCGCUUGAUUGACAGUCGAGGGUCCGGACCGAAGGUGUGGGGGAGACCACGGUUCCGGGAGCGGGUCGUCGAUCCGGGGGUCGCGACCCAGAACCCGAACCAGUCCUGCAGUGCUUCCCGAAGCUCCUCCGGCAGUUUCGGUCACUGGUGCCCGACCAGCUAAGAGCGCCUGCCAGGAGGCGCUGCCUCCUUGGAUGGCGGGGAAUUUGCAUGUCUCUGCUUUCAAUUUAGGGUGAAAAAGGAGAAAAAUUAGUAAUUCGUCGGGAUCAGAAAUGUGACAUCUGAUUCUCGGGGAGGACGGUAUCCAUUUCACACGCAGCCGGAAACCUAGAGAGUGAAGAGGAAAUCAGAAUUUAAGUGCAUUCCAGCCAGCCUUUCCCUGUCUCUCAGUUACAGACUUGCCACCAUCUGUCCGCGUUCAGCAGACCACCACUUGACAUUUGGACCCAGUAGCUCUUUACAGCCUCAAAAUAACUCUAAAUGUCAUCCAGAUUCACUUUAUAGAUAAGUAGCCCGUGACUUCAAACACUGGAACCUAAAUUAACAAGGUGGAAGUUAAGUAUUCAUAAACACAAGAUCUAUUAAAUUUUGUCUCUGGAAAGAUGCACACAGCUAAGAGCAUUGUUAUCCAGGUGAAGGAGAAAACGGUACCUGGACAGCAGGAAGCGAGAUUUUUCAAUUCGUACACUUUGCCAUCAAUUCAAUUUUGAACUAUGAAAAUUCCCCCCAGUUUUUCUGUCAACCUCUUUCCAUGCUUCUUCUUCCACCACUUCAGGUCUUUAAAAAACAUUUAUUUGCAAGAAUUACUCAUAUAUUCUGAGUAGAAGUUAUUUUCAGGUAUGUGUAUCACAGAUGCCUUCUCCACUCUGUUCCUUGCCUUUUGCUCUGUUGAUGUUGUCUUUCCUUGUCUUAAAUUUAACAACGCCCAUUUAUCAGCAUUUCCCUUUAGGGUUGGUUGGUACUGAUGUCUUGCCAAAAACUGUUUUCUUAUCCCAUGGACACGAUACUCUGCUGUUAGCUGUUAUUUUCUAGAGAGCGCACAUAACUCGAAACCUUUCGAAUUGCCUACCUGCGCCUUGAGGGACGCAGCCCAGUGCGCGUGCGCAGCCCACGGUCUGGGAUUGGACGAAGCCGCACGGCUGGGCGACGGAAAAGCACGUCACUUGUGAGGUGGAAGGAUGAAGUUGACUCACCAUGGUCUCCGCAGCGACCAGAAAGUGGGCGAGGAUGGACCCCCUUAACCUGGCACCAUCUUUGCCUCGAGCAGAGGGGCCCCCGGGGCCAGGAGACCCGGGCUGGCUGGUGAGGUUGUGUUGGGCGCCUGAGGAGCACCAGACGCGUAUGAGACGGAAGAGUCUGCUGCAGGCGAGGGUCAUGGACUUCCUCACCUCCACGGCCGUCCUGCCCCUGCUGUUCGGCUGUGUGGGGGUCUUCAGUCUCUUGAAGUUGCUGCAGUGGCUGCGCAUGAAGGCCUACAUCCGGGACGCCGUGGUGGUCAUCACAGGCGCCACGUCGGGCCUGGGGCGAGAAUGCGCCAGAGUCUUCUACGCUGCGGGCGCUAAGCUGGUGCUCUGUGGCCGCAACGCCAAGGCCCUGGAAGAGCUCACUGAAGAACUCGCUGCGUCGCAGGCCGCCAAGGUGCAGACACACAGGCCUUGCUCGGUGACCUUCGACCUCUCAGACCCCGGGUGCAUAGUGGGGGCGGCCGCCGAGAUCUUGCGGUGCUUUGGCCACGUGGAUGUGCUCAUCAACAACGCCGGGGUGGGCUACCGCGGCACCGUCGUAGACACCAGCACAGACGUGGACAGGAGAGUCAUGGAGAUCAACUACUUUGGCCCAGUUGCUCUGACGAAAGCGCUCCUGCCCUCCAUGGUGAGACGGCGCCAGGGCCAUGUCGUCGCCAUUAGCAGCAUCCAGGGGAGAAUCAGCAUCCCCUUCCGGUCAGCGUGUGAGUACUUCCUGCACCUCCUCCAUUUCUUGGCUGAUUUCCUGAUGAUGAAACAACACACUUACUGUCCGGCCUCUGGAGCAGAGUGCCCGGGUGCAGAUCCCAGCUCCACACCUUACGCACCUGCGACCUUGGCCAGUGCUCCAUCUGCUCUGUCCCCAGUCCUUGUCUGCAGGGUUCCAGCCUGGGAGGGGCCUCUAGGAGGAGACUGACUGACUGUGAGUGUGAGUGCAGGGCCACAGUGGACGCGGCAGACGGGGCUCAGCGUCGGCCUUGGGGCUUCAGGGCAGGGACGCGCUGUGGUCUUUGUCCGCACUUGGGUCUGGCCUCACCGAGUUCUGUUCUCUCACCGUGACUGCAUCUGGCACACUUGGCUGGUCGAGCACCUGUGAUGAGCAGGCUGGCCCGUCGGCCAACCCAAGGGUGCUGUCCCCCACUUCCCCAUACAGUGGGGCACGUGGGAUGGUCAUGGUGGCCUGAUCAGUGCCCAGGAGGGCCGAGUCCAGGGCGACGGUGAUGGUGGUCAGGUCGGCACAGCCUGAGAGCCAUGGGGCCCUGCCAUGUGUCAGGGUGCGCUCACUCCUCAGCUUGCAGCCUGGGCGCCGGCCCCAGGGAGGCUCGGCAGUGAGUCCAGAUGCUGCGGAAACUGCCACGUGACUUGCUGGUGUCUGGGCUGCUGGGCGCCCCUUUCCUCAGGCAUGCGCGGGGUCUGAACCGAGGAUGCGCUGUCGGUGGGGACGCUGUGUGUUUUCCAAGAGGGUCCUCACAGGGUCACUCUGUCCCCUUGGACGCUGUGUUGGGAGGCUGUCACUGACGAUCUGAGGGCUCUUCAGGUGCAAGGCCAUCCUGUUGAAGUCAUCAGAGGAAACCCGCAGGGAGUGGGCGUGGGUCUGUGUCCCUCCCCCCCCCCGCCCCACCUGCAGGGAUGUUGCUGGAAGCACAGUGUCAGUGACAGAACCUGGAACAGCCCACGAAGACAGUCCCGGGGUCUGUGACCUGUGACCACGAGGAGCGGGGCUGCAUGGAGGCCGCCAGCCGCCUGCAGGUGGAGAGUGGCUGGCAGGACUGACGCGCCCUUGCUGCAGGAGCUGUGCACACAAUGCCCGUGGACCCCCCAUGUUCCCGGCUGUGAGCGUGUUACUCCUGGUGCGUGUGCGCGCGCACGUGCGCACACGUGGAGGUUUCCUGAGCCCCUUGAGAGGCGGCGCCCCUUCACUCCUACGCAG